UCCUUACGGAGUACAUUAAUUUUACAAAAGGCAUUUUUAUUAACUGAAAGCUUUUAGAGAAAAAUUCUAAAAGCGGUUGUGUAUCGCUUUUUUUGCCUUGGGCUAUUGUAUUUAGUUUUGAGAGAACAACCUCUCUUAAAAUUGUUCUUUGAAAACUAAAUAGUAAUAAAGAUAUUACAACGACAUCAAAAAUAUAAAUUAAUUAAGGUUAAUUUGUUUUGAUACCGAGUUUAAAUUAUUGAAUAAUAAUUUAUUAAAAUGUCUUUGAAUACAUCAUAACAAUAUAACAAUAGGACAUAUUGAUACUAACUUUUAAAAAAGU
rnacentral:misc_RNA from 1 species